GACGAACGCUGGCGGCGUGCUUAACACAUGCAAGUCGAGCGGUAAGGCCCUUUCGGGGGUACACGAGCGGCGAACGGGUGAGUAACACGUGGGUGACCUGCCCUCAGCUCUGGGAUAAGCCUGGGAAACCGGGUCUAAUACCGGAUAUGACUCCAUGACGCAUGUUGUGGGGUGAAAGCCUUGUGCGGCUGAGGAUGGGCCCGCGGCCUAUCAGCUUGUUGGUGGGGUGAUGGGCCUACCAAGGCGACGACGGGUAGCCGGCCUGAGAGGGCGACCGGCCACACUGGGACUGAGACACGGCCCAGACUCCUACGGGAGGCAGCAGUGGGGAAUCUUGCGCAAUGGGCGAAAGCCUGACGCAGCGACGCCGCGUGAGGGAUGACGGCCUGGUGUAAC
rnacentral:rRNA from 1 species